AUCUUUCGCAGUGACACUAUUGUAGCCUAUGAGGUUUAUCCGAGGCGCGAUUAUUGAUAGUUGAAAACUUUACCCAAUGCCUCGCCGUGGCGACUUGAAAUAUAGUCAGCACUGGCAAUUUUGGGGCAGUCAUGGGCU